CAGGGAGUGGCAGAGGAGUACAACAGACUGAAGAACAUUAAAAGAACUCCUGAUUACCAAACCAAGAAGAUUGAAACCAAACAACUUAGGAACAAACUGUUUCAUAUCAAAAGGAUGGUGAAUGAUUAUGACAAAGGAAGGGGUUGAUUAUCAGGAACAAACAUGCAAUAUCUGAAAUAACCCCUAGAGGGCAACCAAUGCUGGCAGUUCAAGCAAAGGCAAUUGAAUUUUAAUAAGAACGCUUCUAAGGAUUGAUAUUAGAGAUGAGCGAAUUUCCGGUUAUGAAAUUCGUUUGCGAUUAGUUUACUGGUAAAAGGUGAAUUGCGUUAUGGAUUCUGUUACCAUAACGGAAUAAAUAACGCAAUUCACCUUUUACCAGUAAACGAAGCGUGAACGAAUUUCAAAAUAUUAAAUUUGCUCAUCUCUAAUUGAUAUGUAUACAUACUGUAUUUAUAUAAUUUUAUCUAUAGAUAUACAUACAUAGACAUAUAGAUAUAGAUAGUAAUUGGAGACUAGCUCGAUUUCAGUCUAUUUAAAGUUUGGAAGGUUAAAAUGUUGGUCUCCAUCUCACAAUGGGACUUUACUUGGAAGUGCAUUUUGCAAUGGCCAAUGGAAUAACAACCAAUUGUCUCUUCAUAAACUGAAACAUCAUGCCCCAUUUUCCAUGUUCUGAAAUUCCUUCACUGUCUACAUUAGUGCCCCAGGGUUUGACCUUUUACACUGUAUAGAUUAUUUGCUAUAAAUAUACGAAUACAUAUUUGAUAAACUGAAACUUUUUGUAUAAUUUUUUGCUAAAUUUUCACGCACAUAUCUGUGAUGCAGGUUAUAAAAAUGAUGUAAGAAUGUGACCAUAGCUAUAUAGAACAUCUAUUUUUAUUGUCAUACCAGCAACUUGUACGCUUUUCUUUUAUUAUUAACUUUGAAAAAACAUGUGUUGAGAAU